rnacentral:rRNA from 1 species
UACGUAGGGGGCAAGCGUUGUCCGGAAUCAUUGGGCGUAAAGCGCGUGUAGGCGAUUCGAUAAGUCUGCUGUGAAAGUCCAGGGCUCAACCCUGGGAUGCCGGUGGAUACUGUCGAGCUAGAGUACGGAAGAGGCGAGUGGAAUUCCCGGUGUAGCGGUGAAAUGCGCAGAUAUCGGGAGGAACACCAAUUGCGAAGGCAGCUCGCUGGGACGUGACUGACGCUGAGACGCGAAAGCGUGGGGAGCAAACAGG